UUUAUUAAGAGUUAUCUCGAAUAUGUUUUUUGUAGUAAUUUAUUGCUCUGAACACUGGCUGUUGGCAUUCUUUUCUAUACGAUUCGCGCGGUUUAUGCGCAAGACGUAUGCGCAAUAUGAUGCGCGAGACGUAUCGCGCAUUCCUUUGUCAGCCAUGUUGGAAUUUUACGUUCUUUUCGUCCAGUUCGGUUCGGUACAUUUAGAAUCAAAUAACGACAUUUGUUUGUGAUUCAUAAUUUCAGAGAAAUUCAUAACUUUCAAGAAGUGAGCAGUGAAAAGUGAUAAACGUCAAGACCUAAACUUGAAGCUCGUUUAUAGACUCCAAUAAGAGUUCCCGCGUUAAGAUAAUAACGUGAAUCACGUUAGCUGCGUAGUUAACAGAGUCGUAUUUUCGAUCGCAAAUUUCGAGAACGAAUGUGUAUAUUUUAUCUUUAUUUUGGAAAUGCUGACGAUUUUAAACGGAUAUAGGUUAAAUACACUUAAUAUCAUUACAUGCACGAACUACUGGCACAGCAUGUUUGCAAAGGAGAAUCUUCAUCGUGUAAAUAUUUAUCGAAUCGUGAUGAUUUGACAUCUCAUCGGAUGCGUUUAAAUUCGCCCCAGAAUCAGACGCCUCGAAUCCAGCCGGAAUUCCUCGACAAUCGCUUCCGAAUUUCUUCACGAGAACGAUGGAGGAGGGGGUUGCGGAUGGCAUCGAAUGGGAAGCGACAAUAAAACGCGAUCUUCACCACUGAGGUAAUCUCAAUUGGAGGUCGGCGGGGGGCAGCAGGGGCGAAGAAAAGGACCCUCGAAGAAAGCGCGAGCGGCACGCGUAUCCAGGGAUAUUUGUGACAGGGGGUGCAAAGUCACGGGCAACGGGAGGGCAGAGCUGUAUCGAAGGGAGGAUCGAUCCCCCGAGGCCGAUGGAGGAGCCGCAUUCCUGUGUAAGCGGCCCUCCUUCACGACCACUUUCUCCUCGCGAAAUAGCGAAACCCUUCGAAACGGACACGGCCAAGUCGCCCUGCGGGGGAUUCACAAUCCUUCAAAGUGGCAGAGAGGGAACGACUAAUCAACCCGGCCAUUGUCCGAAUCACGGUUUCCGGAAAUUAUUGUUACUCGUAUACGACGUAUUUAUCAUCUGGACCGAUUCGGAUGAGUUAUGUGAAAGAAGUUUAUGAGGUUGCAAAGGUCUCGACGAAUUAUCCUGUUGCAAUUGCGAUAAAUGGAUAAAAAAAUGGAUAAUCUUACGCGUGUAAUAAAGUAAAAUUAGAAAAUCAGAAAUGAUUGAGGAACCAUUGUAAGAUCUUUUUUUGAUUCGUUGUUUAAUCGAGUGAUAUUCUGUAUUGUUCGCGGUGCAAGUAUGGAUAUUGGAUGAAAAAAAAAGUUUUGGAUCUGUUCCCGUUUUACACAAUAUUGUUUUCCAACAGUUGUAAAUAGAGAAUUGUGUUGCUUCUUUUUUUCGUGUCUAUUCGCAACCAUUUAUUGAACAUUUUGACGCGAGGGAAGUUUCAAACUUUAAAAACUCACUUUAAAAAUGGAAAUAAGGACUUAUCGAUUCAAUAAAUACUGUUUAUCCUA